GAUUUCUGGCUUGAAACAUUUUGCCGGCCACGGUUUCGUGUGUUAGUGCUUGAUGUUCUGGCCAUCCUUCCAAUCGCUAUUCAUUCUUCUUCAUUGAGGGGUGAGUGGUAUUGGAUCUUUUACUUUGAAAAAAUUAGAGUGUUUCAAGCAGGCUUUAUGCUGUGAAUACAUUAGCAUGGAAUAAUAAUUUAGGACUUCGGUUCUAUUUUGUUGGUUUCUAGGACUGAAGUAAUGAUUGAUAGGGAUAGUUGGGGGUGCUAGUAUUCAGUGCGAAGAGGUGAAAUUCUUGGAUUCACUGAAGACUAACUAAUGCGAAAGCAUU
rnacentral:rRNA from 1 species